rnacentral:rRNA from 1 species
GAUGAACGCUGGCGGCGUGCCUAACACAUGCAAGUCGAGCGAACCCUUCGGGGUGAGCGGCGGACGGGUGAGUAACGCGUGGGUAACCUGCCCUACACACACGGAUAACGUACCGAAGGGUACGCUAAUACGGGAUAAAGUUGUUGGAUGGCAUCUUCUAACAAUCAAAGCUCCGGCGGUAUAGGAUGGACCCGCGUCUGAUUAGCGAGUUGGUGGGGUAAUGGCUCACCAAGGCGACGAUCAGUAGCCGACCUGAGAGGGUGAUCGGCCACACUGGAACUGAGACACGGUCCAGACUCCUACGGGAGGCAGCAGUGGGGAAUAUUGCACAAUGGGCGAAAGCCUGAUGCAGCAACGCCGCGUGAGCGAUGAAGGUCUUCGGAUCGUAAAGCUCUGUCCUCAAGGAAGAUAAUGACGGUACUUGAGGAGGAAGCCCCGGCUAACUACGUGCCAGCAGCCGCCGUAA